UUCUUAUUGAAUUAAUUAUAAGUAAUACCUGCUCAAUGAGUAAUUUUAAUAGCCGCGGAAAUUUAACUGUGCUAAGGUAGCAUAAUCAUUAGCCUCUUAAUUAGAGGCUCGUAUGAAUGGUAAAACAUUUCAAUUCCUAUAUAAUUUAUAAAAUUUUAAUUUAAAUUAAGAAUUAAAAUGUUCUUAUUUUAUAAUUAGACGACAAGACCCUAUUGAACUUUACUUUAGUUUAGCUGGGGCAGCUAAAAAAAUAUAAUCUUUUUAUUUAUAAUUAAAUAAGUGACCCAAUAUAAUUGAUUUUAUGAACAAGUUACCAUAGGGAUAACAGCGUAAUAUUUUUCUAAAGUUCUUAUUUAAAAAAAUGAUUGCGACCUCGAUGUUGAAUUAAUGUAACCUUACAGAUGCAGUAAUUUUAUAGGUAGGUCUGUUCGACCUUUAAAUCAUU
rnacentral:rRNA from 2 species